rnacentral:misc_RNA from 1 species
UGUAGGAGUGAGCCUGCUCGCGAUAGCGGUGUAUCAGUCAUUGAUGAAGUGACUGAUAAACCGUCAUCGCGAGCAGGCUCACUCCUACA